GCAACGAUAACGGCGUCGAGCGGCGGACGGGUGAGUAAUGCCUAGGAAAUUGCCCUGGUGUGGGGGAUAACCAUUGGAAACGAUGGCUAAUACCGCGUGAUGCCUACGGGCCAUAGAGGGGGACCUUCGGGCCUCUCGCGGCAGGAUAUGCCUAGGUGGGAUUAGCUAGUUGGCGAGGUAAGGGCUCGCCAAGGCGACGAUCCCUAGCUGGUCUGAGAGGAUGAUCAGCCACACUGGAACUGAGACACGGUCCAGACUCCUACGGGAGGCAGCAGUGGGGAAUAUUGCACAAUGGGCGCAAGCCUGAUGCAGCCAUGCCGCGUGUGUGAAGAAGGCCUUCGGGUUGUAAAGCACUUUCAGGCGUGAGGAAGGGGGGGACGUUAAUAGCAGAUUCAUUUGACGUUAGCGACAGAAUAAGCACCGGCUAGCUCCGUGCCAGCAGCCGCGGUAAUACGGAGGGUGCGAGCGUUAAUCGGAAUUACUGGGCGUAGAGCGCAUGCACGUGGUUUGUUAAGUCAGAUGUGAAAGCCCGGGGCUCAACCUCGGAAUAGCAUUUGAAACUGGCAGACUAGAGUACUGUAUAGGGGGGUAGAAUUUCAGGUGUA
rnacentral:rRNA from 1 species